GUCUUAUUGGAUUACAAUGUUGUAUUUAAUACGUUGUGUCGUUGAUCGAUAGGCGCCGAAUCACGCCCCUAAUUGAUCCUCCUCCCACAGCUGAUAUAAAUCCUCUAAUCAAUAAAUAAUAAUUCCUGGAAAUUUCGUUGCAUUUCAGUUGAGAUUUUUGAGCCACAAAGUACUUUUUAUUCUUGAACUUUUUCUAGCUGUUUUUACUAUUUUUUUUUUUUUUUUUUUUUUUUUUAUUUAUUGUCGGUAUUUCAUAUUUUAUAUAUAGUAGCUCGAUUUUUACGAAAAUUUUUUUAGAAGAAAGAAAAGUAUGUGUAUUAACUUAAUUUAUCACCGAGACCUUGAAAAAUUUGUCGUUCCCUAAAAACAAAUUUUCCAAUUUAUCACUCACUCUCUCUCUCUUUCUCUUAUCGUCUAAGAAAAAUUAUAGUGAUCAUCUAAAGCCAUAAAAAGACCCAAACCAUUUUUAUUGUUCUUCAUGUUUCACCAUUCCUCUUACUUUCUCCCCAAAUGUAUAUCACCGAGAUUGGAUCCGUACGUGCAACGCUUUCAUUAAAACUUGCUAUCGUAAUCUACAAUGGUUGGGAAAUUUCGAACAAUCGAUUACCCGAGUUCAGAAUUAGAAGCAUGGAACAAUUGGUAGAAAUGAAAUUGGUAGACGAAAAAUUUGUCUAUCGUUUCCUACAAAAAAUUUGCCAACUAUCGUUCUCAAAGACCACGGUGAUCACCGGAAACCCAUGAAAAACACAAAUUGUCUAUUAUUCUUCAUAUUUCUCCUAGCUUCUCCGCAAAAGUACUAUCAUGAGAAUUUCACCUAUGCAUACGACGAUUUUAUUAAAACUCAGCAUCAUUGGUCAUGUACUUUGCGAUAUUUGAAAAAUUUAGAAUAAUAAAGUUAGAAGGGCGUUCGAGUGUAAAAUUAAAAACGCUAAAAACAUUGCUCUGCUAACUUACUUAUCAUCCUGCCCCCAAAAAACAAUUUUUUUUUUUUUUUGCCAAUUACCACUAUGAAGAAUUACAACGAUCAUCCGAAAGCUAUAAAAAUCGUCAAACCGUGUCCACCUAGUUUCUUCCUCGAAAGGACUGUCGUCGAAAUUAUAGCUAUAGGAUGACGGAACACGAAGGGCUGCUGGUGGAUGGAAACAAAACCGUAAUGGCCGUGAAUAAUUGCCGAGCAGGCAUGUACGACGCGGGCCUCGGAUAAGUUUGUGCGUUUGACAGGAAACGCGUUAUAUGGCAGUCUCAUGAAAAUUAUAUGUUGCGCCCUAGCGGCGCUAGGGUGGUACGCACGUUAUAAAGUCCACCCUCCCUCGUCGAUCAAUAUAUACGCCACCCAUGGUGUGUUCCUCCGUCUGUCGAUUUGUUUCCCAUGAGCCUCGUACGGCUGCUGCCAGUUCUCUUUUUUUCUUUCUUUUUUUCUUUCGCCCCUCGACCCGCAUAAAACAUAAAAUCACCGCCGUGCGUUUCGUCGUAACACGCGCCAGAAUUAUCGUAAAGCGAUGUUCAUGGGGUACCCUUGAUUCGUUUAGCGGGCAAUUAUUUUCCUGCGAAUUUAGAGAAAUCGUUGGAAUACACUUUUGGAGAGUUUUCUAUGUUUCGCUUCUUCCUAGGGGAAUUAUUCCGAGUGCCUCUAGGGGAAUCAUCGGGCCCGAUCGUCGGCGAAUUGUUCCUAGUUACAUUGGCCAGUUGCCUAGGGAAAUUCGGUAACUCGACUGCACAUAUUCUUUCUAUCGAGUUUUUUGGGCUGAUAAGCGCCAGCCGGACGUUAUUAUUAGAUGCAAAUUUAUACUUUCAUAGAGAUGAGUCAAAAAAGGAGAAGGAAGCUCAGGUAGAAAAUUUGUUUAUCCACGAAAUAUUACAGCAAGUACGAUAUUUUAAGUAUUUUGUAUAUCUCUGCGCGUUAGCUGUGUCUUGUACAUUUUAACGUCUUCUUGUGCAUCUCGAAAUUUUACGUAAAUAUAAGGAAAAUAAAUAAAGGCCCCUAAAAACAGGCCAACUAAAUUUGCGCCUAACUAACUAUCCGCCGAUAACAGCUGAGACGUUCGGGUGGCCUGUUCCAGGCGCCUCGCCCUGUAUCUUUCAGAAUUAUAAUAUUUAUCCAGAGAAAGAAUGGAUAUUAAUUUUUUCAGAUUGCAGAGGUUAAUAACGACCGAAAUUUAUUGCCGUGAUAAGAACGAUUCUUUCGUUGGAUCGUAUCGUACGUAGAUUGUGAGUUGUAGAAACGGCAAGAAUUUUUGAAACAGGCAAUGAGAAAAUGGACCCACUCGGUCACCACCAGCAGAACUGGUUUCUUCGUCAAUUUAGGAAUAAUAUCGAAAAUAUCUCAAGAAUACAAAACGUCUAUCUCGUUUGAAUCUUAUUCUUACGUUCCAUAUUUAAAGAUAAGAUUAAAACUUAUCGUACAAUGAUACAAAAAAAUCUAUCUAUUUGAAUAAUCUACACAUACACACACACAUUAUAAUCGUUUGAAAAUAUAUAGUAUCGUACUGUGUAUUUUCGUUCGUCAUUUUAUACGUUCACGAAACGUAGAAAAUUAUCUCGCCAGUCCACCCCCGACGACACAACGAGUACCUCCAGUUUUAACAACGAAAUUUGUAUUUUUUUCGUGUUGGCGUUUGCAAUUAAAUCAGAGUUGUUCCGACGCAUAUAGAAGAGGGACAGACGUAGUUAUAAAAUAAUUUCCGAUAUUUUCGUUUGGUAGCAUCGUAGCUGGCGGCGUUAGCCGGGCCCGAAAUUGAAAUUUCGUUGGCAACCCUGGCGUCCAUUUCGCGUUUCCCUUUUUCCACCGAAACAAUCGAAUCCUGCGUUAAUUGGACCUAGCGCAACUUUGCGUAACGUCUAUCUUAAUAUUAUGCUACGAAUUUUACCGAUCAAAGUUUCCAAUCGUACGGUACGUCACGUAAAACCUACCUAUGUAAUUAAAUUUCGAAAAGAUCCGAGAUACUUAAUUCUGUGUGUGUGCGUGUGUAUGUGUGAUCGAAAUAUAGGUCGAUUAUUAUCGUCGAUGAUUUUUGUUGAAUAUUCGAUGCAACGUAGAAAUUGUAUUUAAAAAGAAAAAAAAAGAGAGGUUAGAAUUUACUUAAAAUUAAUAAUUUUGUAUAGUUACAUGUAAUAAUAUUAGCAUAGAAUGUUUAAUUUGAGAGAUUCGGAGGAGAAAUAGCAAAAAAUGAGAAAAUCUUUAAUUCUAGAGAACCGUGGGCAAAAUUAGAGGGUUGAUAAUCCGAUUUCCAAAUCUGCAAAUGUAACAUUUAUGUUACAUAAUUAUAUUAUAUAUAAGCAUAUUAUAUUACUACAAUAUGUUGUUGUUUGGUUAUAGAUAUUAUUUAUCAUAUUUACGAUAUUUACAUUGUAUCAGUAGGCGGAUUUAUAUCCAUUUAGCUGAAUGUCCGCUGCUUCUCACGCACAAGUAUUCCAAUUUAUGUUUACAACCUUCUGUUUGGACACCCUGUUGGAGUUAAACUUCGAAAAACACUCAGACACGUGUUUGUUUAUUUUCAAUGAGAAGUUCACAUGUCAAAUUUUGUGUGUCUAAGUUUAACGAACAUAGAGAUACGAUUAUCUCUUGGAAGAGGAAAAAAACGUACUCUUUCUCACUCCCAUAAGGAUUGGAUUUCGAAAAGUGCUUAAACACAUGUUUAUUUCUAACGAGGAGUUCACGUGCCGAAUUUCACAUCUUUAACUUCAGUCGGUACGAAAGAUAUGGUUAUCUCUUAAAAGAGAGAAACCUACCCUCCCUCACCCCCCAAGAGAGUCGAAUUUCGAGAAACGUUCGAACACCUGUUUGUUUAUUUUUAACGAGCAGUUCAUAUGCCGAGUCUCCAAUUGCAGUAAAUAUAAAAAUACGAUCAAACUGUUUUAAAAAAAUAUUACCCUCUUCUCGUUACCCGUUUGGGAUCCAAACAUCCUUUCUACGUCAUAAAACAAGCAUAUUGUCCACAUUUCAAAUUUCUGACUGCAAUUAGCAGUUUGGGCUGGGCGUUGACGAGCAGGUCAGUCGCUUUUGCAGUAUAAAACGCAAUAUUUUUUAUUCUUCAUUUCUAUUUUAUUUCGACGUCGAAAGAAUCCCUUAAAUUUCCUGGUAUAUGCAAAUAGAUUCUAUUAUCCGAUUAAUCAAUUUCUCAAUUUUUGUUGAUAUAAGAAUCUACAGAGAAUUCGACGAUCGAAAGCAAUAACCACGAACGAAAAAUUGAUAGGAAAUUUGGAAUUUUUAUUUAAAUUCAAUGAAAAUUAACCGGGCUAAAAUUGACCCGUAAAGUUAGCGUUAAGAACCGCUUUGUACUUUUCUUCUUCAGAAUCGUUUCGAGAUUGCUCGCAACGUUGUGUUUUCGCCUUUCGUUUUCAUCUUUUUAUCCACUCAAUUAAGUAGACGUUUCACAGUGACUUUCUGCCUUGCGAACGUAGCGCUUCCUCGAUUCCUCUUUUGUGAUUAGGUGAACACGGGUGAAGUUUGUGUGACCUACUCUUAACCUUGCGAGUAUCGACCGAUGCUUCCUACUCUCUCAAUCUCCACAGCUUUUUUCCCCCGAAAAUAUCGUCUCGCACGUAUAUCAUUGUUAUUAUAAAUUUUAUAUUGUUACUAUUGAGAUAUGUGUAAUUUUGUGUGCUAGACUAGAUUAGCUGCGUAGUAGUGACACAUAUAUAUGAGUAUGAGUGUGUGGAGUAUGUACGUGCACAGCGUCUCGUAAAACAGACGAAUGCAACUGUUCCGUUGGUAAUGUGGUAAAGAAGAUGGCGAGACAAAGAGAGUGCCGAGACGCGUGCAAAUGUAUAUCCACGAAUAUCUUGUAAAUCACGUAUUAAAUAAAUCUGAAACUAUUUUGAUAUGAAUUCUAAGUGUAAUCUAAUUGUUCCUAUACAUUUAUUUCGGUGAUUAAGAUCCACAAUUCUCAACAGUUACACGCUCUGGCACGGUUCUCCAAUUUUGAUAUCCCCAUCUUCUCUCAACGACCAAGAAGACUCGUAAAUAAUAUUAAAAAUGGCUUUAUCGCUAAACUGCGGAUUUUCACGUACGUGUAUUACGUAUUUAUAGAAAAUUUGAAGGUGCAACGUUCCACGAAAUGCACACACGAUAUCCAAUAAAGUACAGUGCUUUCUACACUAUUCGGUGAACUGCAAUGAGGCACAAAGACAGUUCGAUUGUCUCAGAGUUUUUAUUCGCGUCGAGGGAGUUGCAAAACUCGUGGAACGCGGCUGAAUGAGCCCACGCGCAUUCCCUGACUGUCGUACGCGGUCCAAGAUAUUGACAUUGGCCCUUUUCCACCAGAUCUGAUCGUUUUAUUAUGCAGCCAGCGGAACUCGGUUUCGAGGAUUGGCACAGUUUCAAGUGCACCAAGCUACUCAGACGUUUCACGACCCAGUGCUAGCCUCCGUCGGUUUAUACACGUCCUAAAACAUUUAUAUCACGGUCGAUAUUUCACGGUAAAUUGGAAGAAACCAUCUCGAAUAACGUUAUAUCCAAGCAGACGAAAAAUCGAGUGGCCAUUCGUUUCAGAAAACAGUUGAUAUUAGAUGGUCGAGAUUAUGCGAGUAUUCGAUGAAAAUAAUGAAAUUAUCUUUACUUUGGAUCGUAUUUGAAUAAUUCGAGCGUUCGAUAAAAAUAAUGGAGAAAUUUUUCAUCCACGUCCGCGACGAGAAACAUCGUUUUACGAUGUGUUUCUAUGAAAAAAAUAUUUCUAUCGGACAUUUGCUGCUAUACAUCGAUACACCUUCAGGUUUCUCGUCAAAAGAUCAAACUUCAGAAAAGAUUCUUUUCGGCGUUACACGUGACUCUUGAAACAAUAGAACUGUGUACCGAGAAGAUUUUCAUUGGACAAUGAACGAGGCAGAUACUCGACUAAUUCCAUUUAGUCGAAGCAUCCUGUACAUUCUACAGAAAUUUGCAUACACGCGACCUAUAAUCUAUAAUCCAUAAGCUAACGUGAAUUAAAUUACCUACAUACAGGGUGUUCAUGUUCAGAAGCGACGAAAGACGUAACGCGAUACUUUCGUGUUUACGUCUCGCCUGUCUUAAACCUGAGAAAUUCUACGAACUUAAAUGAUCCAUGAUCCCUUAAAUAUUUUGAACCCCAUUCUCUAUACAGUAAUGGGUAUGACCUGUGUAAGUGUCCUGUUCAAAUGCCUGUGUGAGUGUCUGUGUAAGGGUAUUUGUGCCUAUGCGUGAAAUAUCGUUGUAUUCCAACAAUUAUUACAUAUAGCAUCAAAAAAGGACGAAAACACACCUUUCUCUCGAGUCACCCGUUAUACACACGUCUUAGAAGACCAGCUCGCAUAAAAUGAAGUUGGCGUGUAGGUGUUUAUCGAUGCCCACGCGAGCGUUUAUCAAUCGUCUGGUAUCCUGAUAUUUCACCUUCGACUAUUAUUCUUCAUCGCCAUUCAAACGAUCAUGCCUCAUCAUCGUCGUUAUCUUCAUCAAUCACAAACUCACGUGUACAGCGGCACACGAAAUUAUACACACAUCGGCAAGAAACUUUUUCAUCGAUACAUUACACGCGUUACAUAAAACAUUUUGAUAUUUUGUUAACAUUAUGACAAGAUUUCCAUGUAAUGAUUAUAACAACAUACCAUGAAAUAUGAAAUUAAUCCGAGAAUUUACGUACAAGUUAUCGCUGCUGUUUAUCGCUGGCAUACGUUUCACAGAAAUUGCUGAGUUAGCAAAUUAGUAAAUUAGUAAAUUAUUCGUUAUAGCAGUAAGCUGAGAUACGAUAAAUCUACGAAACGUUGUAAAGAAUCGGUUUUUGUAUGUUUAACAAGGUGCACAAAAACGUAUAAUUAUCUAUCAAUUAAUUAUAUCUAUUAUAUAAUAUAUAUUAUAUAUAUCAAUUAAUAUAUAAUUAACUAUCAAUUAAGAAGGCAGCUUUGGCUACGUGCAAUUGAUUAUUGAAUUUUUCAGCUGUUUAUUAUUAGACCGCGGAUUUGUACGCGUUUAUGGGAAAUUUAAAGAUACAAGCAUUGGUACGUGAAAGUAUACAGAAUAUCAAAAAUAGCGUGUUCGUUGUAAUGUUUGCUCGAUGACACAGACUUGCGUGUAAAUUUCAUUUCUGUAGGUACAGUGGUGGAUAAGACGAAAUUUCAAAUUCAUAUUUACCUCCAACGACUUAAUUAAUUAACUAACCUAAUGGCGAUAAACAAUUGUUAAUUUAAAAUUAAUAGCGACUCUGGAGCAUGGAACAUUUUUAUAUCUAGCCAUAAUUCAAUUAUCCUCGUCAAAGUAUAACUCGUUGCUGGAAAAUCGUGGUGUCUCAGUAAUCUAAUUGUUCCUGUCAACUACCACUCAACCUGCUAAAAUUACAGUGUUUCGAUAAUUUAAUUUUAUUACGGACUCGUUUUCGAAAAUUACAACGUUGCGAUAGUUUAAUUGGCCGCGUCAAUUAUGACACAUUUUCUAAAAUUACAGCCUUCCAACGAUAUAAUUGUUCUCGUCAGCUACGUCUCUACAUUCUUCUGUAAUUGCAACGUCUCGAUAAUUUAACCGUUCUUGUCAAUUACAACUCAUUUCCUAGGAUUACAGUGUUUCGGUAAUUUAAUUCUCGUCCACUACAACUCGUUCUUCUACAAUUGCAGUGUUUCAGCAAUCUCAUUAUCCCUGCCAAUUGCAGCUCGUCUUCCUAAAAUUCUACUCUUUUUCCGUCUCGUUAUCCUUCCGACUUUCUUUUGUCUUCCACUGUACCUUCGUGAAACUACGAGAAACGUAUGGAAACCAACGAUCCCAAUAUUUGUUACCUAACUCCACCUGAUACUGUCUGUGUAUCGAAAGAUUCGCGAUACGCGCACACGCACAAAGAUCCACGCGAAUACGCGUGAGUUGAAUGAAAAGCCAGGCGAAAGGUGUGUUCGAUUGUAUCCGAGGAACGACCUUGAGCAACGAUACUACGCGGAGGAGCAUUCCUUUUUAACUAAGGGCAACGUGUAGCCUGUCCGUGAUCGCACGUGCGACCGCUAUCGAUUACGCGAGAGGCCGCCCCGAGAGCUUCGGGGGUUGGGUCGGGGGUGAGUUUUAUUGGUAGCCCUCGUCAACCCUCUUUUCUCGGACUUGCCACCACGAAAAUAGCACGGUGCACGCCAUGAAAAUAGUAACAUGGGAAAAUACCGAUUCCAGCGUCGUCAGUGACGGAGCAACCCUUCGGCUUCGUUUCCCUUUCAACCCUUUGCCGAGUGGCAAAAGCACGAAAGAAAUAUAAAAUUUAGGAAUUGUAUGAAAUUGGAAAACUUUUCUUCUUUCUAUGCCGUGUUUCCUUCUUCUUUUGUGGCAGGAAUUUGAUUUGCUUUGGUUUGCGUUGGUUCGGUUAGUUUAAAGUUUAAAAUUCAUAUUUGUUUAUAACGGCUACGCUAUAUUAACAGUAACUUGGAUAUACCGAAUAUUUUUUAAUUACAUUGGUGACAGUCAUCUGACAGUAUAUCUGGUUAUGAUUUAUUUAAUUUUGUCAAUUAUAACUCAUUCUCUGAAAUUGUAGCGCGUCAAUAAUUUAGAAGUGCUCUUGUCAAUUACAAUUUAUUUUUUAUUA